CGUGCGUGCGUAUGUGCGUGCGUGCGUGUGUGCGUGUGUGCGUGUGUGUGUGUGUGUGUGUGUGUGUGCGCCAACAAACAGAAAACGUCACUUUCUGAUCUUUCUGUUCCACCUGUCCAAAUUUUAUUCUGCUUCAAAGCCACGUUUACUGGGACACACGGGGCCUCUGUGGCUUUGCUUCCCUGGAUUUCGAAUUCUUGCUUUGCUGAGUUAGGGAAGAUGGGACACUGAAAUGGACCCAGCACUUUUUGUGGGCAGUAAAAUAUAAUGAUGAAGAGACGUAUCCCUGAUGUAUAAUUUCCUGUGAGUAAAACUGUUAAGUAAAAUCUGUGCCCGGUGCCUCCAGGCACUGACUAGGCCUCUCACUUAAGGAUUCCGGGGCUGUGAUUCGGGAAACAAGAACUCUAGGAAUUCUGACGAAAGACGGCCAAGGGUUACAGAAUGCAGAAAAAAAAUCAUGCACUGACAGAUGCAGCAGGAAUCUGUCUUUUGGCCCAGCUUGCUGGGACGAUGUGACUGAGUCAAGCGGGGAAGCCUCCCUGGAUAUCAGCCGUGGGUGCCAGGGGGCACUGUGGUUCAAGUUAUGUGGGUCCUCGGGGUGCUCGGGCUGCAAACUGUGAUCCUCCCUGCAAGAAAAGGCCUUUAUUGAAGCAUCCACAGAAGAUCAGAUCCGCUUGAUCGAGAGAGAGCUGGGAGUUCUUCCUCUUCAAACGCCACCAGCACAGGGGACAGAGGUCCUUACAGAGUUGUCACUCCUGCUCUUUCCUCUCCCUUGCUUUGGGACAGGGACUCACAUCCAACUGCUAGUGACUGGGCCGGGCACACUUGGAGAAUCACAGAGUGCAGGGGUGAGAGGAGGACAGAGCGAAGGUGCGCUGCAGGGCGUGACAGGCCUGCAGGAGGAGCAUUCCAAGGGCUCUGGACUGAGCUCCCUGCUCCCUGCAGCUCCCCUCACCAACGCUGAAGAGGCAAAACCCCGCAAAUACAAACCCACUCAGCGGGUGGCUUGGCUUAGUUCCACUUCUGCUUGCUGUGGAUGGCAGGGAUGGUCACAGAGGACGCGAGUGUUGGUAGCGAAGGAAAAUAAAGCUCUGGAGUGUCCCCACCUGGGAAGCCUGUCUGUGUGUCCAGUUGUGUCCAUUGUGACCUGUCUGGGGCUCCACUGUGACUGGCUUAUGGUAGACACGAGGCCUCUUCCCCUGAGCAGGCUCCAAAAGAAACGGCCAUUUCUCCUGGAAUCCACGGGGAUUCCCCCGCUGAUCACUGAGCACUGAGCAGUCCAGCCUCUAGGAGGGGCUUCAUCUACAGACUCCCAGCUCUCGCCAGUGUGGUCUCGUCCAUGGCAUCUUGAUUCACUGCAGCCUCUGGAUGGGACUGCAAGGUCCUGGAAGGAUAGGGCCACAUUUGAUGCUUCCCUC
rnacentral:lncRNA from 1 species